ACUACGGGAGGCAGCAGUGAGGAAUAUUGGUCAAUGGGCGGAAGCCUGAACCAGCCAAGUAGCGUGCAGGAUGACGGCCCUACGGGUUGUAAACUGCUUUUAUACGGGAAUAACGCGCCUUACGUGUAGGGCUUUGCAUGUACCGUAUGAAUAAGGACCGGCUAAUUCCGUGCCAGCAGCCGCGGUAAUACGGAAGGUCCGGGCUUUAUCCGGAUUUAUUGGGUUGAAAGGGAGCGUAGGCCGCAUGUCAAGCGUGCUGUGAAAUGUCCGGGCUCAACCCGGGCCUUGCAGCGCGAACUGGCGUGCUUGAGUCCGCGGAAAGCAGGCGGAAUUCGUCGUGUAGCGGUGAAAUGCUUAGAUAUGACGAAGAACCCCGAUUGCGAAGGCAGCUUGCUGCAGCGGAACUGACGCUGAUGCUCGAAAGCGCGGGUAUCGAACAGGAUUAGAUACCCUUGUAGUC
rnacentral:rRNA from 1 species